UGACGGUGGCAGAGGUUGUGAGGCAUCUUUAAGCUUUGCGGUCAUGGAUACGCCGAUGCUAAUCAUUACUGCGUUGCUACUUCUGCAAAUGAUCACAGAAUGCGGAGGGCAACCAGUGUGCGGUCAAGCCCCUCUCAACAAUGGCAAUCAGGGGGCCACCCCAGGUGCGUGGCCCUGGCAGGUCAGCCUGCACAGGGGCGGGAACCCCUUAUGUUCGGGGUUGCUCAUC